rnacentral:rRNA from 1 species
AGUGAACGCUGGCGGUAGGCCUAACACAUGCAAGUCGAACGGCAGCACAGUAAGAGCUUGCUCUUACGGUUGGCGAGUGGCGGACGGGUGAGGAAUACAUCGGAAUCUACUUUUUCGUGGGGGAUAACGUAGGGAAACUUACGCUAAUACCGCAUACGACCUACGGGUGAAAGCAGUGGAUCUUCGGACCUUGCGCGAUUGAAUUAGCCGAUGUCGGAUUAGCUAGUUGGCGGGGUAAAGGCCCACCAAGGCGACGAUCCGUAGCUGGUCUGAGAGGAUGAUCAGCCACACUGGAACUGAGACACGGUCCAGACUCCUACGGGAGGCAGCAGUGGGGAAUAUUGGACAAUGGGCGCAAGCCUGAUCCAGCCAUACCGCGUGGGUGAAGAAGGCCUUCGGGUUGUAAAGCCCUUUUGUUGGGAAAGAAAAGCAGCAGGUUAAUACCCCGCUGUUCUGACGGUACCCAAAGAAUAAGCACCGGCUAACUUCGUG